CUCAACCACUGGGGCAAUGAGCUGCAAAGUAACCUCCCAGGUGCAGAGGGAGAGCUCCAGGCUACAAGCUGGGUGUUGAACAAGUUCUUUUGACUUGUGUUUCAAAAACAGAAAUUCUACCAGAAUCACCAAAACAGUGAGUUUUAACAGUGUUCACAUGGUUCAGGAUCAAUUACCAGAUCACAACUGCUGUCAGCUGCUGCCAAGGAAUGUCCAACACAAGUUAUUCCCCUCUGCUUCUUCCCCUCUGUCAUCAGCUUAUCUACUAGGUGGCUAAGACAUCACAUAUUCACUGGAAGUCAAAAAAAAAAAAGUUUAUUGUCAGCAGGCCAGAGUUAAACAAUUGUAUUACCAUUGACUUGGAAAGUGGGGAGAGAGGGCAAGAGACACCUUAAAAAACUUACUGCUGGAAAAUCAUCAGAGAAAUAAACCUGAGAUGUCUGAGAUUUAUUUCAAGUACGAACAUCAAAAAUUCUCCUAUGCAACAAAUUCAAUUCUCUUGUUAAGAAACCACAGGAAAUUCAACCAUGCACAGCACCUAAACAACAAAAAUGCUCUUUGUGGAUGAAAAACAGAAGAUCCUGCACAGAUCCCUUGCUGUAAAUUACUGAUGUUCCUGCUGGGUUUGGAACAUAGAAGAUUUACCUGCUGAUAUGGUCAAGGAGCUUCUUAACCUCUGUGACACUCAGAAAAUUGUAUGGGGAAUGCAAUGUGUUCCUUCUGCCUCUUAAUGCUGUUUUUAAGAUUGCAAAGGCUGCAGUUGGAAAACCUAUUCUUUCCUAUUGAUUUAAACACUCUCUAUUGGUGUUUAUGGCUUCCUGCUGGUUUGCAACCAUGUUACAUUCAAAGUAUGAGAGCAAGAGAAAUAAAAAGCCUCC